GCAAGUCGUACGUGAAAGCGGACUUCGGUCCGUAAGUAAAGUGGCGCACGGGUUAGUAACCCGUUCAUAAUCUACCCGACAGACAGGGAUAACAUUCCGAAAGGAAUGCUAAUACCUGAUAAGACUACGCCCUCCUCGCAGGAAGUAGGAAAAGGUGGGGACCUUCGGGCCUACCGUUGUCGGAUGAGUCCGCGGCCCAUUAGCUAGUUGGUAGGGUAAUGGCCUACCAAGGCUACGAUGGGUAGCUGGUCUGAGAGGAUGAUC
rnacentral:rRNA from 1 species